CUUCUAGUUACUUUAAAAAUUCUUAAGUUAGUUUCUGAUUCUUUUUGAAUGUUUAAGCUUCAAACUACUGAACCAAAUAGCUGCAACAUGUGACCUCCAGAAGUAUUCUUACUCCGGGUGUUUCAAGAUGACGGUCGGACAUUCUUCUUUUUCAAUAAUUUUGAAGUUUUGAUGGUUGUGAACGAGCUGGAGCAGCCAGUGUUGAUUCUCCAUCUAUUAAUAUAUAUGUGUGUCCAAAGUCUACUAGUUUUUUGUGGCGUAGCCCUUAUUAAUCAUUUUUUGCAGUUUGGUGAACAAAAGAAUCACGUUAAUCUUUAGCUUUCUCUGGAGGUGGUCUUCUUGGACCUUGAACGCCUUUCUCUGGUAAGAUCAGUUUGGGAUAGAAUAUCAAUUGUAUCACUUCAACAUUGGGUGAAGAAGCCAUAUGUCCUGCGGCUCCUGCCACUAAAAAGUAUCAAGCAUCAAAAUAUAGAGUGCCAAAUUGAUGAGGCCAAGAGGGAAGAAGCAAUUGGGGAUAGAGAGUGUGUGAAAAGGUCUUAUGCUCUGGGACCAUAUUUGAUUUCCAAGUUGAUCGUUGGUAUUCCUCUUGGAGCAGGAUUUCCGAAUGACUUGACUUCAUCCUAAAAUUUCUAGGUGCAGGUGAAAGGUGAGAAUGAUCAUGAAGGAAAAUUUGGAUCCUAGAGUCGUUCAAGCGAAGUGAAGUAUAUCCUCACUUGACUCGAGGACAUACAUAUAUGUCUUUAUUUCAAAGUAUUGUAAUAGACUAAGUAUUUCUAUAUGAUUGAAGUAUGGCCCGUGUC